AGCCCCGGUUCUUUCUCUCCUGUUUUUGACUCCUGUACAAAGUUUAGGGUACCGUUAUGGUUCCUAUAGUAAAUCUAAUGUUGUGAUUAAUAACUGUGAUCCUAGCAGAUUUAUCGAAAGAACGUAUACGUCACGGAAAUUAGAUUGUGCCCGAGCUUGUACAGAGAAAGCUGAUUGUAAACGAUAUCUUUAUUGUUCACUGGAUUCAUCCUGCAAAUUAUAUCAAGAUGGCAGAGAUUGUGUUAUGUCCGGAGACAAAACUGGUUGUUCCUGUUACAUAAAGACAAUUGGUUGCGUGGAUUCAAUUUGUGCCUGUCCUUUAGGCCACUAUGGAGACCAGUGUCAAGAUAUUAUUACGGACUGCCAGGAAGGUUUCAAUAGUGGUUUAAGAUAUCCUACUGAUGUAUUAACCAAUAUUAAACCAGUGACGUCUCCUAAUUCUUUUGAAGUACUGUGCACAUUUGGCUAUGGUGGAUGGACUAUAAUAUUUCAUCGUAAUCAAGACUGUUUAUUUGAAAACUUUAAUAGAACAUUGAUAGAAUAUGAAGAGGGUUUUGGUAAUGUUGCGUCAAACAAAUGGCUAGGUUUCAAAAACUUACUAUAUAUACUUGGUUACUCAGGCGGUACCUACAAAUUGGGAGUCAUCCUUUAUAUGCCUGAUUCGUCAUUUUGCGUCAAUUAUUACUACAACUUCGCUAUUAGUAAUAAAUCAACAUCCUAUAAGAUAUAUACUAGUGGUCCUGGUAUGCUUGACUGUGGUGACAGUUUGACUGGUAUUAUCAACUUAAACAACAAUCCUUUCUCCACAUACGAUGUUGAUUAUACUGGAAGCAAUGAAUGUGCCAAGAGAUUUGGAGGCGGAUGGUGGUACGAUAGUCAAGUCAAUUGUACCAAUAGUCUUUUAACAGGAACCAUGGACAGUUCUGGCAUAGAUAAUUUUUGGCAUAACAGUCUUUCAGAUACACCACUGAAACAAAUAUAUUUCAAAUUACAAAGAAACUAAAUGUAUUCCGUUUUGUCCCCAGCCUUUCCCGGAAAGUAGGGGGCUAUCAAAAUGGGUUCAUCCGCCAGUCUGUAUGUCCAUCUCACGAUUUGGGACACAAUAACACUGCAGCUAAUUGAUCUAAAAUGUUCGAACUUUGUGUCAGCAAGGUGAUUGCCUUGAUUGAGCAGAUGUAAGCAAGUUGGUAGGCCAAAACUUUAGAACAUAACAUCUCUGCUUCAAAUUGAAGGGUGAGUGGUGAAACUUGGUGCACAGUUUCAUUAUAUCCAUACCAUGACUAAAAUCAAAAAUUAUCAUUAUUCUACUCAGGAAGAGUAAUAAACAGUCUGAUGGUUAGAUUGUUUAUAGAAAGAGAAAUGUGCAAUUAACUAAAGAAUUUCAUCUAUUUAUUUUGGGAUUGAGGCGGAGGACAUCAGCCUCGCCUAUUGCUUGAGGCUUUACAAAAAGAUGAAUGUGCAAUUAAUUAAUGCGUGUCAUCUUUUUUAGGGGAUUGGGGUGGGGUACACCAGCCUCGUGAUAAGAGUAGAAAUACAAACGACAGACUAUCUUUCUGGCGCUAAUAUAAUUAUAUGUAUAAAUGUAUGUAUCA